rnacentral:rRNA from 1 species
UACGGAGGAUGCAAGCGUUAUCCGGAAUGAUUGGGCGUAAAGGGUCCGCAGGUGGCAGUGUAAGUCUGCUGCCAAAGAAUGAGGCUUAACCUUAUCAAGGCAGUGGAAACUACACAGCUAGAGUACGGUCGGGGUAGAAGGAAUUCCUGGUGUAGCGGUGAAAUGCGUAGAGAUCAGGAAGAACACCGGUGGCGAAAGCGUUCUGCUAGACCUGUACUGACACUGAGGGACGAAAGCUAGGGGAGCGAAUGGG